rnacentral:rRNA from 1 species
AUUGAACGCUGGCGGCAGGCCUAACACAUGCAAGUCGGGCGGUAACACAGGGAGCUUGCUCCUGGGUGACGAGCGGCGGACGGGUGAGUAAUGUCUGGGAAACUGCCUGAUGGAGGGGGAUAACUACUGGAAACGGUAGCUAAUACCGCAUAACGUCGCAAGACCAAAGAGGGGGACCUUCGGGCCUCUUGCCAUCAGAUGUGCCCAGAUGGGAUUAGCUGGUAGGUGGGGUAACGACUAACCUAGGCGACGAUCCCUAGCUGGUCUGAGAGGGUGACCAGCCACGCUGGAACUGAGACACGGUCCAGACUCCUAGGGGAGGCAGCAGUGUGGAAGAUUGCAGAAUGGGCGCAAGCCUGAUGCAGCCAUGCCGCGUGUAUGAAGAAGGCCUUCGGGUUGUAAAGUACUUUCAGCGGGGAGGAAGGUGUUGUGGUUAAUAACCGCAGCAAUUGACGUUACCCGCAGAAGAAGCACCGGCUAACUCCGUGCCAGCCGCCGCUGUAACAC